AAUAGCUGCCUCUCCAUGGCGAUAGGGCGGGACCUUCUCCAGAGACGGAGAGUGGAUGGGGAAUAAGCCUUUGUUUAUAUAUGCAGUGCAUGCCUCUGCUAGUGGAUCAAGAGAUUGCAAUGCAUUCAGUAGAGUCCAAUAAACAGCCACAUCAGUGGAAAUGAAGGGGAAUUGUCUCCACCAUAAGAUGAACAUAAGAUGACACAGCUGUCCAUUAAAGUUGUGACAGCAAAUAUUGAGCUUGGACAGGAUAUAGGGUCAGACUUGAUAAACACACUAUAGUGUGAGUCAUC